ACUGCAACCUCUACCUCCCGGUUUCAAGAAAUUUUUCCCCCUCAGCCUCCCGAGUAGUUGGGAUUACAGGCUCCCACCAUGAUGCCUAGCUAAUUUUUGUAGAGACAGGGGUUUGACCAUGUUGGCCAGGCUGGUCCCAAACUCCUGACCUCAGGUAAUCCGUUCGCAUCAGCCUCUUAAAGUGCUGGGAUUAUAAAGCAUGAGCCCCUGCGCCCAGCCCUGAUUGGCUUCUUAAAAAGAGAUGAGUUGGCAGAUGUGUCUCAAUUUGUUGGGGAUGUAUGUGGCAGCACAGAGCAUCCAAGAGAAAUGUACAGCCUUUGGUUAUGAUUCAUCAUUAUUUUUGGUUUUUGAGAUGGAGUCUAACUUUGUUGCCUAGGCUGGGGUGCAGUGGCGUGAUCUUGGGUCACUGCAACCUCCACCUCCCAGGUCCAAGUGAUUCUCCUGCCUCAGCCUCUUGAGUAGCUGGGAUUACAGGCACCUGCCAUCACGCCAAGCUAAUUUUUGUAUGUUUAGUAGAGACGGGGUUUCACCAUGUUGGUGAGGCUGGUCUCGAACUCCUGAUCUCAAGUGAUCCGCCCACCUUGGCCUCCCAAAGUGCUGGGAUUACAAGUGUAAGCCACCACGCCCGGCCAAUUCAUCAUUUUUAAUGGGCAGUAGAGGAGAAUUAGGACCAGUGGGAUCCCCAGGCCUACCAGGUAAACCGGGUGUCGUCGGUGAACCGGGUCCAAAGGGUGAACAGGGUGCCUCUGGUGAAGAAGGUGAAGCAGGAGAAAGGGGGGAACUUGGAGAUAUAGGAUUACCUGGCCCAAAGGGAUCUGCAGGUAAUCCUGGGGAACCUGGCUUGAGAGGGCCUGAGGGAAGUCGGGGGCUUCCUGGAGUGGAAGGACCAAGAGGACCACCUGGACCCCGGGGCGUGCAGGGAGAACAGGGUGCCACCGGCCUGCCUGGUGUCCAGGGCCCUCCGGGUAGAGCACCGACAGAUCAGCACAUUAAGCAGGUUUGCAUGAGAGUCAUACAAGAGCAUUUUGCUGAGAUGGCUGCUAGUCUUAAGCGUCCAGACUCGGGUGCCACUGGGCUUCCUGGAAGGCCUGGUCCUCCUGGUCCCCCUGGCCCUCCUGGAGAGAAUGGUUUCCCAGGCCAGAUGGGAAUUCGUGGCCUUCCGGGCAUUAAGGGGCCCCCUGGUGCUCUUGGUUUGAGAGGACCUAAAGGUGACUUGGGAGAAAAGGGGGAGCGUGGCCCUCCAGGAAGAGGUCCCAAAGGUUUGCCUGGAGCUAUAGGUCUCCCAGGUGACCCAGGCCCUGCCAGCUAUGGCAGAAAUGGCCGAGACGGUGAGCGAGGCCCCCCAGGGGUGGCAGGAAUUCCUGGAGUGCCUGGACCCCCGGGACCUCCUGGGCUUCCCGGUUUCUGUGAGCCAGCCUCCUGCACCAUGCAGGCUGGUCAGCGAGCAUUUAGCAAAGGGCCUGACCCUUGAAAGGCUUACUGCUGCAUGGCUGUCUGCAUGAACCACGCCUGGUGGAGGAGCUUGGAUGAGAAGCUGGGGCAAAGAUGAUUACCUUCAGCAUGAUUACAAUGUAUUACCUUCAGUAUGAUUACAGAAGUCCUACUUGACAAUCACAUUUAGAAGAACGGUGCUAUUCAGUAAGUUCUCUUUCCUUUCCCUUGGAGGGAAGACAGCAGAGUCAUCAGUUAAAAAAAAAACAAAAACCAAACACCUCCCUUGAAUGAAUUUAUACUCCUGUUCCCAGGAUCUUGAGCUUUAGUGUGCUAUAUCUAUGUGUCUUAUCGUGGGCCACUGUGCCAAUAAACAAAAACAACUGUUUGGUUUACCUC
rnacentral:sRNA from 1 species